rnacentral:rRNA from 1 species
AUACGGAGGGUGCAAGCGUUAUUCGGAAUCACUGGGCGUAAAGGACGCGUAGGCGGGUUGGCAAGUCAGAUGUGAAACCCUACAGCUUAACUGUAGAACUGCAUUUGAAACUGCUAACCUAGAGUAUGGGAGGGGGAGAUGGAAUUAGUGGUGUAGGGGUAAAAUCCGUAGAUAUCACUAGGAAUACCGAAAGCGAAGGCGAUCUCCUGGAACAUAACUGACGCUAAGGCGUGAAAGCGUGGGGAGCAAACAGGAUUAGAAACCCCAGUAGUCC